rnacentral:rRNA from 1 species
UACGGCGAGUGAAGAGGGAAGAGGCCAAGAUUGAAGGCUGGCGUCUUCGGCGUCCGCAUUGUAAUCUCAAGAAGUGUUUUCCGCUUCGGACCAUGCCUAAGUCCCUUGGAAAAGGGCAUCAUAGAGGGUGAUAAUCCCGUACAUGGCAUGGAGCGCCCGUAGCUUUGUGAUACGCUUUCUAAGAGUCGAGUUGUUUGGGAAUGCAGCUCAAAAUGGGUGGUAAAUGCCAUCUAAGGCUAAAUAUUGGGGAGAGACCGAUAGCGAACAAGUACAGUGAUGGAAAGAUGAAAAGAACUUUGAAAAGAGAGUUAAACAGUACGUGAAAUUGCCAAAAGGGAAGGGUAGGAGGUCAGAGAUGCGUCUUGGGAUUCAGCCUUGCUUUUGCCUGGUGUUUUUCCCAAGCUGCAGGCCAACGUCGGUUUUGGGCACUGGAGAAGGGUAGGAGGAACGUGGCACCUCUCGGGGUGUGUUAUAGCCUCCUACUGGAUACAGCGACCGAGACCGAGGAACGCAGCGUACUCGUAAGAGCGGGCCUUUUGGCACCUUUACGCUUAGGGCGUUGGCAUAAUGGCCCUCUACCACCCGUCUUGAAACACGGACCA